AAUUCUUUUAACAAUAAUAAGGGGGCAGAAAUUGAAGCAAGUGGGAAAGUAUUGGAAAGUGCAUCAAGUUCCAAAUCACCUCUCUGAAGAAAUGGCAUUGCCAAACACAUUCACUUUCUCACCGCCAUCUCUCAAUCCCUUCAAGCCUUCAUCUUCAUCAUCGUCUUAUAUAAUCAAAUUCUUCACUUGCUCCUUCCCCGUUCCCAGAACAACAAUCACCACCCCGAACGCAUUUUCUUUCAACACUGGCCCAAUCAGGCCCAAUAUCAGUUCAAUCCGUGCCUCGUCAUCGUCUUCUUCUUCUUCUUCUUCCUUUGGCUCCCGACUCGAAGAGACCAUCAAGAAAACCGUUUCGGGCAACCCUGUCGUCGUUUAUUCCAAAACAUGGUGCUCGUAUUCUUCUGAGGUGAAAGCGUUGUUCAAGAAGCUCGGCGUGGAACCAUUGGUCUUCGAAUUGGACGAAAUGGGUCCACAAGGGCCACAGUUGCAGAAGGUGUUGGAAAGGCUUACAGGGCAACAUACUGUGCCAAAUGUAUUUAUCGGAGGCAAACAUAUUGGUGGCUGUACAGAUACACUGAAGUUGUACCGGAAGGGCGAACUUGAACCGUUGCUAUCAGAAGCUACCGCUAAAGGCAAAGACUGAUAUCGUCCUAGAGGGAAUCUGAUCCUAUUUCCAUUUUGUUUCCUUUGGCCAAUGCUGUCCUCUCAUGUUUGUCACACCUUGGUGGAAAGCAUUGCAUCUUCAUAAAUCUGCAUUGAAAGGGGUUCUAGAACAUAAAGUUGCACCUAAGUUGGUGACUGUGCUGGAAGACUUAUAUUAUUCUUCUUAGUUAGUUUGAUGUUGAUGAGCAGUUUGUGUCAAAGGUUGGGAUGACUUUCAACACACUUGAAGAAGAUGAAAAAUUUUACAAAAAUUAUGCUAAAGUUGCAGGUUUUGCUACUAAAAUAAAGAACAUAAAUAGAAAGAUGAAAUAAAAAAUCAAUUAAUUACAUGCAAUAGAGAAGGAAAAUAAAAAUCUAACAUAUCUCCUACUGAGAAGACAAAUUCAUUAGCUGGAUUAAAUUGUCUUGUGUGAAUUUAUAUACAUAUAUUGAAGGAGACUGUUGU